UACGGAGGGUGCAAGCGUUGUCCGGAAUCACUGGGCGUAAAGGGCGCGUAGGCGGCUCAUGAAGGCUGUGGUGAAAGUCCGGGGCUCAACCUCGGAUCGGCCGUGGCGACUCGUGGGCUGGAGCACUGUAGAGGCGGGUGGAAUUCCGGGUGUAGCGGUGGAAUGCGUAGAGAUCCGGAAGAACACCAGCGGCGAAGGCGGCCCGCUGGGCAGUGGCUGACGCUGAGGCGCGACAGCGUGGGGAGCAAACAGG
rnacentral:rRNA from 1 species